AGCACCUUUAAAUCAGUCCCGUGAGACUGGCAAGGUAACGUGAACCGAGGUUCAUGACAUGGAAGCACAUUUUCGUCUGCGGAUGGAACUUUGCUGCUUUCAUAGCAUCUCUUUGUGUAUAUGAGAUCAACUCCUUGCCUGCGCGGCAAGGAGUUUUUUUGU
rfam:Paenibacillus uliginis N3/975 genome assembly, chromosome: I